rnacentral:lncRNA from 1 species
AUGCGCCGUGUCACCCACAGUCACGGGCUGACACCGUUCAGAACCCCCCCUUCCCGGCAGCCCCGCGUUGCAGCCGCAACGAGGCGCCGCCGUCCCGUCCUGCAACCGGCUCUGGUGUCAAUCCAAGUUCCCGGGUUCCACCGACCCCUCGCACGCCAAGUUCCGCCGCUUCCUCUCGCGCAUCUUCUGAUAGACUGCGCAGCGGCCGGUACGGGGAGGACGCGCUGCCGGGGGGCUCCGGGACACGCGGGAGGCGCCGGGACGGGACAGGACGGGGCAGCAGAGUGGGGCUGCCGCAUUCGCAGCGCGGGAGAACUUCCUCGGAGCACCAGAGCGGGGCUGCGGGCCGAGCGCGUCCUCCUUACCUGGCCGGCAGCACCAGCUCCGCUCCGCGUCCGACGCGGCACCCGGGCCCCGCUAGGCGAGUGCUCGGGGCCGGCCGCGCACCCUGCGCGCCUUUUGAAUGAAUCGCCGGCCGGGCCGGGAAGCUGCGCGGCCCCGCCCCCCGCGUCACGGCCUCUGGCCCCGCCCCCGACGUCAGAGCCCCCACUCGCGGCCCCUUGCCCCUUGCCCCCCAGCCAGCAAAGGGCUCACGAUUCUCCCGCCAGGCCGCGCUGCUCUACACCGCCACCUCUCGAGCAUCCUAGGGACGGCAGGGGCUGCGCGCGACGGACGGACAGGGACCAGGAUGCUUUUCGGAUGCGUCCCUUUUGGGGGGAGGGGUGCUGGGGGGGCGGCACUAAACCAAGAAAUUCGGGCUUGUGUAAUGAAGCGAAAAAGUGCUCGAGACUUGAAUGCUACUCGGGUACUGUUUCUAUUAGCUGCGUAACUAGAACCACAGCCGCCAAUUCCUGGGAAUUUUCUUACUUGUGGAAUUGGUUGUCGAUGAGAACGACCUCAGUGUCUUGGAUGAGGCUCAGGCUGGCUUCUAGAAUCCCCCACCUAGUUAGUAAGAGAGUCUGCAAGAAAUGCUCACCUAGGGAACUCCUUUGUAACCUGCCGCAAAUACCUCCUCCUCCAGAGUGCCCAUGGAGGCCAGGAGUAAAAGUGUAA